AGCACAUUGCGCAUGCUCACAGUGCCGAGCCAGGCAGCGAUGUUGUUUUCGUUCUUUGUGGAAGUGGGUCAGCGGCGGGUCCGGGUUCGGGUUCGGGAUCGGGAUCGGGAUCGGGAGGGGGUCCUCGCCCCCUUGGACGGGGAGCCGGAGACGGAUUAUUCUCUGCGGGGCAACACCAACAAUUUCCAUUCAACCUGCUGUGAGAGGUUUAUUGGAAAAAAAAACCCAACUGGAAGCAAACCACGGCUGAAGAUGUAGGAACAGCAACAAGUGAACUGGCCCGAGGACUGAGAACAUCAACUGGAGAGAACAACACUGAAUCAGGUGACUUGGAGUUCCCAGUGAGUCAGUGAGGAGGAAGUUUGGUGAGUCUCAUUUACUCAGACACUGGUCCUUUAUACAUUACAUGCCUGUACAUUAGAAGGUGGGAAAUAGUUGGUGUUUGAAGUCAUUCUGACAAAAUGUUAUUAACCUGAAUUGUAAAGUUUGUUCCUGUCCCCACAGCUGUUCCUUACCUGCUGAGCAGUUUGGUAAUUCCAAUUUCUUUUUAUUACAUUCACUCUGGAUUAGUUUAUGUUUCCUGAAUUGUACCUGUUUUAAUGUGGGAGUGGAAAUGGCUCACUCUGUGAUAGUAGAACAGUAAAGUAACCACAACUUUUCCCUGCAAAUUACCCUGGUGCCAAUUAGAUUGUUAUUCCUAGAAAUGUGUUCAGUACAGUUGUUGUGAACAAGGCUUACAAGAAUAAUCUCAGGAAUGUUCGGCAUUAUGUAUGAGGAGCAUUUGAUUGUUCUGGACCAGUGCUCAAUGGAGUUCAUCAGGACGGUGGGAGUGGUGGGGGAUGUAUGGUUAAGUAAACCUACCAAAUGCUGAAAAGCCUGGAUACGGUGGACACAGAGAGGAUGUUUCCAUUAGACUGUGAUCUGACAGCGCAGUCUCAGAAUAAAGAAGCUUCCCUUUAAAACUGAGAGGAGAAAAAAAAAUUGGCCAGAAGAUGUCUGAUCUGUGGAAUUUGUUGCCACAGAGGUUGGUUGAAGCUGCUAUUUGGGUAUAUUUAUGACAGAGAUGAACAUAUUGAUGAUUGCUCAGCAGCUCAGGGUUACAGGAGGAAGGCAGGAAUGUGGUGUUGGAAUGAAAAUCAGCCAUGGUUAAAUGGUGGGGCAGACCAGUUGGACCAAAUCACAUAAUUCUGUUCCUGACUGAAUGAUGGCUCCUCCUUAUCCCAUAUUGUUUUGUGAUGUGUGAGUGACAAUAAAAAAUAUGUUUACUGAAAUCAUUAUAUCAGCCUUCAACGUUUUGUUCUUAGUAACAUUCAGCAGAAAUGUUUGGUUCUCCUUUUUAUUGGAAGAAAAACCCCAACUAGAAGCAAACCACGGCUGAAGACGAGGGAACAGCAACAAGUGCACCAGCCUGAGGACUGAGAGCAUUAACUGGAGAGAUCAACUCUGCCUCAGGAGAAUCGGAGAUUCCAUUGAUUCAGUCAGGAGAAAGUUUGGGUUAGAACACACAGAUGUCUAUAUUGAUAACUCGGGCACACGGAGUGACACUUGGGAAGAGCAUAUCUCUGCAGUAGAAAAGCUAUUUGACAGGCUUUCCUAGGACAACCUUAAGUUAACUUGGCUAAGAGUGAAUUUGGCCAUGCCAGUGUGACUGUCUUGGCUAUGUUGUAGGUCAAAGCAAGAUGGCUCCUGCUCGGGCAAAAGUCCAGGCAAUUUCUCAAGUUCCUAUUCUGACUGCUAAGAAGGCUCUUAGGUUUCUGGGAAUGGAUGGAUAUUAUCGUAAGUUCUGUCAGAACUUUGCUGCUAUCGCUCUUCCUCUGAAUAAUCUCCUGAAGAAGGGUGAACAGUUGGUUUGGACCGAGCCGUGUCAGGAGGCAUAUGAUCUAUUGAAAGUUGUUAUUUGAGAUUAGGCUAAUCAAUGUAGUGUUGACAUCAAAUUUAAUUAGCAGAUUGGAGCUGUGGGUGGCAACACAAGUCAUGGAUGCACAGAGAGUAAAGGAGAGGGCCAAAGAGACAGCCCUGUGGGUUAUGUGUACUGAGGGUCAGAGAGACAGAGGAGAUGGAGCCCACUCUUUCCACCUGCCGGCGAUCUGACAGGAAGUCCAGUUUCCAGCUACACAAGGCAGGGUGAAGGCCGAGGUCUCUGAGCUUCUUCUCUAUACUUCACGCCUUCGUAUGGCUACUGCUCUGCCCAUGACUGCAAGGAACUGCAGAGAACUUUGGAGAGCAGAGGACAUCAGAGAAACAAGCCCCCACUCCUUGGACUCUUCCUACACUUCCCCUGCCUGGAAAAUCAGGCCAUGUACUCAAAGAACCUCAUAAUCUGGACAUUCUAGCUGCAAUCCCUCUCCCACUGGCGGAGAGAUACAAAAGCCUUGAAGCGCGUAACACCAUGUUGAAGGAUGGCUUCCUGACUGCAGUUAUAAGCCAAAUGAAUGAUAAAAUUGACUCAACCUCACAAUGUAAGUCGACGUGACGCUGCACCAUAUGUCUAUCUGCACUGCACUUUCUCUGCAGCCAUAAUGCUUUGUUACAGUUAAUGUUCUGUCAUCUAUCAGCUCAAUGUACUGUUGUAAUGUAUCGAUCUGUGUGGAUGGUACAUCACUGUAGUUCAGUACGUGAUGAUAAUAAACAAAUUCCCCAUUUUAAUUGGAUCAGGUGACCGGUGGUGGGUCUCCCAUGUCAAUAUCGGAAUCAAGUUUAAUAGCACCGGCAUAUGUCAUGAAAUUCGUUCAGCAGUAGAACCUAACUUUUAACCACAUAUUUUAACAAUUGUGAUUUAAUACAAGAAUAGAAAUAUCACAUAGUUAAAUUAUAUAAAUCAUACAAAAUGAAAAAAAGAUGUAAUAAACUAUUUUGAUUGUGCCAACUGUUUGACUGACUGGGUUGUUGCUUUGGAAGUAGUGGAGUGAAGCUUAACUGAACUUUACACAAUGAUGAGAAGCUCAGAUAAUUAUAAAAAGCUAAAUUCUCACAUAAGUGGGUCAGACACCCAGAAACAUCGGCAGCACUUCAGCAGGUGAAAACAGUGGAAUGAAACAUGCUGAAAAUAUUGCCGAAAAAAAACCCAUAUUGUCCACCACAACGAGAGGACGUGACAGAUCCGGAUCUCACUGCCUUGUAUGAACGGGGAAAGAUGAAGCUACACGUAUAGGUAGAGCAGUGACCCGCAGAUGCUGCAGAUCUGCAGAGAAACGUGAACAGGAAACGGGAUCACAUGGCCGCUUUGGUCUCUCACCCCCAGACAGAUGUCCGUUUACCCACUACUCUGUGGAAGGACGCAAACGCCGCUCACAUCUCCACUCACCUUAAAUGUAUUAGACAUUUCAACCCCCAGGAAAAAUAUAUCGUCUGUCCACACGAUCUAUUCCUCUCGUAAUCUUAUAAACGCCCAUCCAGUCUCACCCCAGCCUGCGCCGCUCUGGAGAAAACAACACAAGUUUGUCCAGCCUCUCGUUAUAGCUCAUGCCCUCUAAUCCAGGCAGUGUCCUGGUAAACCUCUUCUGCGCCCUCUCCAAAGCCCCGACAUCCGAGAAUGGGGGCGACCAGAACUGUAUGAAACACUCCAGAUGUGAGCUAACUAGUUUUAUAAAACUGUGUUACGAACUGCAACGUUUUAGAAACGAACCAGCAGCAAUAGAGUUCACGCUGGAGUCUGGUUUUGAUGUUAAAACCAUUAUCUUUAGUAGUACUGACUUAUAUAAUACAGUAACUUAACGAAAUAAAGGAAAGUUUACAGUGUUAUGUGUAUAUAUGUGUAAAUAUGACUCACAGAUUAUCGAGCCUGAGGGAACAAAGCUCAGAGUCUUGAGAUGGUAAAGUAGGAAAGUUCAGUAAUUCACGGAAUAAAUGAUGGGAUAGAGAUAUUUAUAAUCCAGGGUGAAAUAUAGAGAAAAGGUUACUUCAAAAUAACCGCCGUCGAAAUUCUUAUCCUUUGAAUCCGUCCACAUACGAGUUAUCUGCAAAAGUGACCUGUCACAGGAAUACCGUCUUCGAGGGGUUACCACACAACAUACCCAGGCAAGGGUUAACACAAGAUAUUCCAAAAUCUACUCCUAUGGAUUAUACGAAGUGACAGCCACACACAUUCGUUGUGUUUCCGUGUACCGAUGAUCAACCCACUCUUGCGGGCAUAGGAGAGGUCCAAACCUCAGCUGCAACUAACUGAAGCGAUCAGCUUUUCCAGUCUCUCUCUGUCUUUAGACUGGCCGACUGCCUGUCUGCAGAUCGCUCUCUCUCUCUCUUAUGGUUCAGUCCACAGUCAGCGCUGUCAGCCUGUGACUGACGUCAUAGCCCCGCCUCCUCACGCCGGCGCUCUUAAAGAAACAGUCACAGUACGACCGCAGGCUCGGAACAGGCGCAACACAACUUCCCGACUUUUGAACUCAGUGCUUCAACUAAUAAAGACAACCAUGUCAUUUCCCUUCUUAACCACCCGAUCAAUCUGUGCAGUCUCUUUCAGGGAGCGAUGAACUUGGUGUAUAAGAUCCCGCUGAUCAUCGACACUGUUCAGGGUUUUGCAUUUAACAGUGUACUGUCUCAUACAUUCGACCUACCGAGCUGCCAAGAUGAUCAUCACUAAUCAAAUCUCACUGAGAUUUCUCAGGUCCUGUUGAAUUUAUUGCCAAGUGCACAAGUACGGGAAGGUACAGGUACAAAGAAACACUGACUUGUGGCAGCAUCACAGACAAGUACAUUCAGAUAACACACGGAACACAAAUUAUACGAUUCUCUGUCAGUAACAAUCUAUAAAUAUGCUUUAUGACAUUAACAACAUAUAAAACACAUUGGGCCAUGAUCAAUAUUAAAAUGAUUUGUGUCAAUAACAGUCUUGGAAAUGUUGAAUUCGGUCCCUGUCUCCAUUCCUCCUGUAAUCCACAACCAGCUCCUUUGUUUUUGUCACAAUGAGGGAGAGGUUGUUUUCUUGACACCACUGUGUCGGGGUGAUGACUUCUUCUCUGUCGGCUGCCUCGUUAUUGUUUGGGAUUCGGCCGAUCAAAGUAGUGCCGUCAGCAAAUCUAAUUAGCAGAUUGGAACCCCCCACUG